rnacentral:rRNA from 1 species
GAUGAACGCUGGCGGCGUGCCUAAUACAUGCAAGUCGAGCGAACAGACGAGGAGCUUGCUCCUCUGACGUUAGCGGCGGACGGGUGAGUAACACGUGGAUAACCUACCUAUAAGACUGGGAUAACUUCGGGAAACCGGAGCUAAUGCCGGAUAAUAUAUUGAACCGCAUGGUUCAAUAGUGAAAGACGGUUUUGCUGUCACUUAUAGAUGGAUCCGCGCCGCAUUAGCUAGUUGGUAAGGUAACGGCUUACCAAGGCAACGAUGCGUAGCCGACCUGAGAGGGUGAUCGGCCACACUGGAACUGAGACACGGUCCAGACUCCUACGGGAGGCAGCAGUAGGGAAUCUUCCGCAAUGGGCGAAAGCCUGACGGAGCAACGCCGCGUGAGUGAUGAAGGUCUUCGGAUCGUAAAACUCUGUUAUUAGGGAAGAACAAAUGUGUAAGUAACUAUGUACGUCUUGACGGUACCUAAUCAGAAAGCCACGGCUAACUACGUG